GUGCUACUAUGGUCAUCGCAUAUUUAUCAUCAAUGUUUCUUCCAAAUUUUUUUAUAGGUAUAAUUAAUGAACAAUAGAUGAUGGAGUAGAACUAGGUAAAUUUUUGUUUCUACUUCUUAUGCAUCGAUGAAAUUUCUAUGGCAAUGGAGUACCUACUACCCCUACAUCAUAUAUUCCCUUCUUACUGUGGUUUACCUCGGUGUAUGUGGUCUUGUAAAAGAAAUCUGUUGUGUUUUGCUGGGUGUUAGUUAGUGUUGAAUUUUGAUAACCAACAAUACCACCACAACUUUAUUUUUUGUCUUUCUAUGACUAAUCCUAGUGCUUCACGUAGGAAGCACAUAUCCUAUAAAAUGCAUAGGACUCAUUUAGUUUGCGAACAAAGAAGAAAGAAAAGCGUGAUUAACGAAAAAAACAAAUAAAUACCUUCUAUUUUGUUGGAGUUUUUAAAGGAGAGAGGUGAGAAAGUAGCAUUUCUAUACGAAUAAGAUUUUCAUGUUUCAUAAGGAAAAAAUUCAUGAGAGACAUGAAAAUGU
rnacentral:lncRNA from 1 species